UACAGAGGGGGCGAGCGUUAAUCGGAAUUACCGGGCGUAAAGCGUGCGUAGACGGCUAUCUAAGUCGGGUGUGAAAGCCCCGGGCUCAACCUGGGAAUUGCAUUCGAGACUGAAUAGCUAGGGUGCGGUAGAGGGAAGCGGAAUUUCCGGUGUAGAGGUGAAAUUCGUAGAUAUCAGGAGGAACACCGGUGGCGAAAGCGGCUUCCUGGCCCGACAUUGACGCUCAUGUACGAAAGCGUGGGGAGCAAACAGG
rnacentral:rRNA from 1 species